rnacentral:rRNA from 1 species
AGAAGAAACUUACGAGGAUUCCCCUAGUAACGGCGAGCGAACCGGGAAGAGCCCAGCUUGAGAAUCGGGCGGCCCAGCCGUCCGAAUUGUAGUCUGUAGAAGCGUCCUCAGCGACGGACCGGGCCCAAGUCCGCUGGAAGGUGGCGCCGGAGAGGGUGAGAGCCCCGUCGUGCCCGGACCCUGUCGCACCGCGAGGCGCUGUCGGCGAGUCGGGUUGUUUGGGAAUGCAGCCCCAAUCGGGCGGUAAAUUCCGUCCAAGGCUAAAUACAGGCGAGAGACCGAUAGCGAACAAGUACCGCGAGGGAAAGAUGAAAAGGACUUUGAAAAGAGAGUCAAAGAGUGCUUGAAAUUGUCGGGAGGGAAGCGGAUGGGGGCCGGCGAUGCGCCUCGGUCGGACGCGGAACGGCCCACGGCCGGUCUGCCAAUCGGCUCGGGGCGCGGACCGUUGCGGUUCGGGGCGGCGGCCUAAGCCCGCGCGGAAGACCCUUCCGCGCGCGGAGACGCCGUCGCCCCGAUCGGGGAAGCACAGCGCGCGCCCACCCGGCGUGCCUCACGGCAUCCGCGCGCUCUCGGCAACGGCCCGCGGG